CAUCUUUGGCUUCCUUGAUCUUCCCUGUGGACACCUUUGCUAAUUGGACCUUAUUUAGAGCAGGGGUCUCCAACUUUGGCAACUUUAAGACUUGUGGACUUCAAUUCCCAUAAUUCUGGGAGUUGAAGUCCACAAGUCUUAAAGUUGCCAAGGUUGAUUUAGAGGACAUUCCUUCUCUAUGGCUUAUGGCUUAUGGCAAAGUAGGGUCAGAAUUUUGAGCUCCAUGUUAACUUCUCAAGACCUUCAAGUCGUGACUCAGUUUCUAGUGCGGUCCCUGAUCAUGAGUUUUGCAAGAAUUAAAAUGGUCUUCAAUGUGAGGAGAAUAACUAGGCCUAGAUCUCUGCAGCCAGUCAGCAAGGAUGGAUGAAUGGAUCAAUUGAUUUAUGGAGAAGAGACAAUGGGGAUAUCUACCGUGAACCCAACUGCAUGGGGGCCAGCCAGCUCCAUCCAAAUCAAAGUUCAUUCAGAACAGUGGGAACUAAACAGUUAAAAGUCAAUCACCUAGUCUUAUUUAUUGGAAAGGCACUGAUUUCAAGGGCAGGAGAGGGAGACAGCAAAGAAAAAGGGAGAAAAAUGAAUGAAGACAGGAAAAUAUUAACAAGCAAUAUGUAUAUAAAAUACCAUUUGCUCAAAA